rnacentral:rRNA from 1 species
CCCUUAGACGUUCUGGGUCGCACGCGCGCUACACUGACACAGGCAACGAGCUUUCCUUUACCGAAAGGUAUGGGUAAUCUUUUGAAACUGUGUCGUGCUGGGGAUAGAUCCUUGCAAUUUUUGAUCUUAAACGAGGAAUUCCUAGUAAGCGCGAGUCAUCAACUCGCGUUGAUUACGUCCCUGCCCUUUGUACACACCGCCCGUCGCUACUACCGAUUGAAUGGCUUAGUGAGGCCUCAGGAUCCGCGCUUAAUGUGUGGAGAAUUUGGACAAACUACGUCAUUUAGAGGAAGUAAAAGUCGUAACA